rnacentral:rRNA from 1 species
GAUGAACGCUAGCGGCAGGCCUAACACAUGCAAGUCGAGGGAGAAGCCCUUUCGGGGGCAGAAACCGGCGCACGGGUGCGUAACGCGUAUGCUACCUACCUUUCACAGGGGGAUAGCCCGAAGAAAUUUGGAUUAAUACCCCAUAAUAUUAUUGGAUGGCAUCAUUUGAUAAUUAAAACUGCGGUGGUGAAAGAUGGGCAUGCGUCCUAUUAGCUAGUUGGAGUGGUAACGGCACCCCAAGGCUACGAUAGGUAGGGGUCCUGAGAGGGAGAUCCCCCACACUGGUACUGAGACAGGGACCAGACUCCUACGGGAGGCAGCAGUGAGGAAUAUUGGUCAAUGGUCGGAAGACUGAACCAGCCAUGCCGCGUGCAGGAAGAAUGCCUUAUGGGUUGUAAACUGCUUUUAUAUGGGAAGAAUAAGGCGUACGUGUACGUUGAUGACGGUACCAUAUGAAUAAGCAUCGGCUAACUCCGUG